GAUUCAGUAGCUCAGCAGGUAGAGCACAUCCCUUUUAAGGAUGGGGUCCUGGGUUCGAGCCCCAGCUGAAUCACUA
rnacentral:tRNA from 1 species